AUGCACCUUGUUGCUUUUUAGACCGGGAUAUGGAUCCCGAUGAAGAUCUUGAGGAGGAAGAGUUGGAUGAUGAAGCUGAGGAAGAGGCUGUGGAAGAGAUAGGUGGUGCAAAAGAUCGACCAGAAGAAGCGAAAAAAGCCGGAAACCAACGGGAGGGCAGCGAAUGGAGUAAGCAACGCCAAGAGAACGAAGGUAGACAUUAAGAACAACGGUAUGGACGACGAUGCGGACGAAGACGAAGAAGCUGACAUGGACGAAGGCGAGCUAGACGAGUCCGACGAGGACUUCAGCGAGGACGAGGAGCCGCCAGUGCGCGUGAAGAAGUCGGCCAAGAAGACCCCUGCUGUGGUCGCCGCUGCCCCCCAAAAGAAACAGCCGCCAGCAGGCAAGAAGCCAGGAUCAGGUAAAAAGCCGCAAGCCAAGAAAACGCCCAAAGCCAAGGCUUGAUUGCUUGUUUAAUGCGGUGCCAAGUUGUGCCUUGAAAUGUAUAUGCAGUGUUACGAAAUAUAUGUUGCAAGGUUAUCAGCAUUUUGAAAUCUUUCUCAGGAGCCAAACACAAUUUCGGAAGUGUUGACUGCAUACCACAGCUGCUACGAAAUAACUGAUGCAUGUCAUACCUACUGUUCUCCCGAUCUCCUGUCGCCGAGUCCGAUAUCUGCACUUGUUUCUUUUCCUCCUAGUUCGGAGCAAACGUUACAGGGAGGAUGACUGAGAGGAUGUUACAGUUGGGUUAGGAUGAUAUACCGUGAAUGCAGGACGUGAAUGACAUCAGGACAUUACUGGUAUAGUAGCCUCGCUCCUUUGCAUGGCCGUUUUCACCAGGGACUGAGGCAGGGACGUCUAGUUCUGCUGACUGUUUUUUGGUUUGUUGUUCACCAAUCCAGCCAACCAAUCGUGCUAAUUCAAAAGGCAUUUAGUUUUGUUUGGUUUAUAAUGAGUGAUAUAUUGAUUUGAUCAUGCAGUGAUUUUGUGAACAAGCAUACCAGGCCCACCAGGGGGCUGUCG